rnacentral:rRNA from 1 species
GCAAGGUAAAACUCAAAGAAUGACGGGGGCCGCACAAGCGGUGGAGCAUGUGGUUUAAUUCGAUGCAACGGAAGAACCUUACCUGGUCUUGACAUCCACAGAACUUUCCAGAGAUGGAUUGGUGCCUUCGGGAACUGUGAGACAGGUGCUGCAUGGCUGUCGUCAGCUCGUGUUGUGAAAUGUUGGGUUAAGUCCCGCAACGAGCGCAACCCUUAUCCUUUGUUGCCAGCGGUUAGGCCGGGAACUCAAAGGAGACUGCCAGUGAUAAACUGGAGGAAGGUGGGGAUGACGUCAAGUCAUCAUGGCCCUUACGACCAGGGCUACACACGUGCUACAAUGGCAUAUACAAAGAGAAGCGACCUCGCGAGAGCAAGCGGACCUCAUAAAGUAUGUCGUAGUCCGGAUUGGAGUCUGCAACUCGACUCCAUGAAGUCGGAAUCGCUAGU